GCCAAAGUAUCUCAGUGGGCAGAACAUUAGACUGAAGAUCUAAAAGUCCCUGGUUCAAUCCUAGACUUUGGCA
rnacentral:tRNA from 1 species